rnacentral:rRNA from 1 species
UGGGGAAUAUUGCACAAUGGGCGGAAGCCUGAUGCAGCGACGCCGCGUGAGGGAUGACGGCCUUCGGGUUGUAAACCCCUUUCAGUAGGGACGAAGCGUAAGUGACGGUACCUGCAGAAGAAGCACCGGCUAACUACGUGCCAGCAGCCGCGGUAAUACGUAGGGUGCGAGCGUUGUCCGGAAUUACUGGGCGUAAAGAGCUCGUAGGCGGUUUGUCACGUCGUCUGUGAAAUCCUAGGGCUUAACCCUGGACGUGCAGGCGAUACGGGCUGACUUGAGUACUACAGGGGAGACUGGAAUUUCUGGUGUAGCGGUGGAAUGCACAGAUAUCAGGAAGAACACCGAUGGCGAAGGCAGGUCUCUGGGUAGUAACUGACGCUGAGGAGCGAAAGCAUGGGUAGCGAACAGG